CGUAGGGGCAAGCGUUAUCCGGAUUUACUGGGUGUAAAGGGAGCGUAGACGGAUGGACAAGUCUGAUGUGAAAGGGCUGGGGCUCAACCCCCGGGCUGCAUUGGAAACUGCCCGUCUUGAGUGCCGGAGAGGUAAGCGGAAUUCCUAGUGUAGCGGUGAAAUGCGUAGAUAUUAGGAGGAACACCAGUGGCGAAGGCGGCUUUACUGGACGGUACUGACGUUGAGGCUCGAAAGCGUGGGGGAGCAAACAGGGAUU
rnacentral:rRNA from 1 species